AGGUAGUAUAAAUUUACAUACAAACCAAUGUAUCUUGGCGGCAUUCUUUAACCUCAAAGGAACUUGUUAUAUAAUCGAUAAUCCCCGUUUCAUCUGACUUAUUUUAAAAGCCUAUAUACCGUCGUUUAAAGAACUUCACAAAACUGAUUCACUCUCCCUAUCAUCACACAAAUCAGAUCAAGGUGUAACAUAUAAAUAAGCAAUAAUGAGUUACAAUAAAAAUAAAUUAAGGAAUAUAACGGAAACGCUUAAUAAAAAAGAAUUUGAACUCACCUGUUAAACAAAAUUUUACAACGAAUUAUAAAAAAUGUGC
rnacentral:rRNA from 1 species